rnacentral:rRNA from 1 species
UACGUAGGGGGCGAGCGUUGUCCGGAUUUAUUGGGCGUAAAGAGCUCGUAGGCGGUUUGGUAAGUUGGAUGUGAAAUCUCCAGGCUCAACUUGGAGGGGUCAUUCGAUACUGCCAUGACUAGAGUUCGGUAGGGGAGUGUGGAAUUCCUGGUGGAGCGGUGAAAUGCGCAGAUAUCAGGAGGAACACCUAUAGCGAAGGCAGCUCGCUGGGACGGUACUGACGCUGAGGCGCGAAAGCGUGGGGAGCGAACAGG